UUCCUCUUUCCUGCUUCCUGGAACACAAACAAGAGAGUAAGGGCUGCAGCAGCCAUCUUUGACCAUGAGGUGACCUUAAGGAAGGAAGCCAUAUGCUAAGGAUGGCGAAGCAGAAAGGAGGAAGUUUCGGGGUGUUCCCUCCAUGGCCGGUCCUCAGCCUGCAACUGUGGCUGCAAGGUGCUGCUGGUUACCAGCCCUGAGCUAACAUCCACUGCCAAUCCCCCUUUUCUCGCUGAGGAAGACUGGCCCUAAGCUAACAUCCAUGCCCAUCCUCCUCUACUUUAUAUGUGGGAUGCCUACCAAAGCAUGGCUUGAUGAGUGGUGCAUAGGUCUGUGCCCGGGAUCCAAACCAGCAAACCCCAGGCCACUGAAGCGGAGCAAGCGAACUUAACCACUGCCCCACCAGGCCAGCCCCUUUAUAAGCUACUCUUGAAUGUGACAUCCAUCACUUCUCCCGAAUUGAAUUCAUCUGAAGCAAGACAGUAAAUCUAACCCACAUUAAAGGGAAAGGAAUUACACAAAGGCAUGAAUACCUACCAAGAG
rnacentral:lncRNA from 1 species